rnacentral:lncRNA from 12 species
AUGCACACUUCUCAGGCCCCAUGUGUGCCUCUCAGGCCCCAUGCACACCUCUCAGGCCCCAUGCACACCUCUCAGGCCCCAUGCAUAUGCUUCUCAGGCCCCAUGCACACCUCUCAGGCCCCAUGCACAUCUCUCAGGCCCCAUGCAUGCUUCUCAGGACUCAUGCACACCUCUCAGGCCCCAUGUAUGCCUCUCAGGCCCCAUGCAGACUUCUCAGGCUCAUGCGCACCUCUCUGGACUCACACUCACAUCUCAGGCCCCAUGUGUGCCUCUCAGGCCCCAUGUACACCUCUCAGGCCCCAUGCACAUCUCUCAGGCCCCAUGCAUGCUUCUCAGGCCCCAUGCACACCUCUCAGGCCCCAUGUGUGCCUCUCAGGCCCCAUGCAGACUUCUCAGGCCCCAUGUGUGCCUCUCAGGCCCCAUGCAGACUUCUCAGGCCCAUGCGCACCUCUCUGGACCCACACUCACAUCUCGGGCCCCACGUGCACCUCUCUGGCACCAUGUGCAUUUGUUGGGCCCCCCAUGCGCCCCUCUCAGGUCCAAUGUGCACCUCUUGGGCCCCAUGUGCACCUCUUGGAAUCGGCAGUGGCAUCCACAGGGCCCGGCUUCCAGGGCAGGGGCGUGGGGCUCUCCUGGAGGCCCUGUGCACCCCACAGAACCCACCCUCCUCCCCACACUACCUGGGUGCCUGCCCAGCCCUCAGCCUCUUUGCAGCCUUCCUCACUACCCCGCCCCUGCCUGCCUUGCCCAGGCUGGGAAGGACGCCCCCCAGGUCCCCGCAGCAGUAGAGGGGCACACUACUCUUGUAAUGAGGCAUCACGGGCCCUGUUCCUCUUUAUCCGUGUCUCGCUUGUGACCAAGCUCGGGUCAGAAUUCCUGGGAGGGGAAGGAAUCAGUAAUCAAAUACAGGAAUUGGCUUUCUGUUUAUCUCUUUACAUAAGUUCAACAAGUUAUAUACUCUUUAAAGGUCAUGUGCCUCAUUUCAUAGUUUUUAUCGUUUCUACAACUUUCUAG